GUAGGGUGCAAGCGUUAAUCGGAAUUACUGGGCGUAAAGCGUGCGCAGGCGGUCGUGCAAGACAGAUGUGAAAUCCCCGGGCUUAACCUGGGAACUGCAUUUGUGACUGCACGGCUGGAGUGCGGCAGAGGGGGAUGGAAUUCCGCGUGUAGCAGUGAAAUGCGUAGAUAUGCGGAGGAACACCGAUGGCGAAGGCAAUCCCCUGGGCCUGCACUGACGCUCAUGCACGAAAGCGUGGGGAGCAAACAGGAUUAGAUACCCUGGUAGUCCACGCCCUAAACGAUGUCAACUGGUUGUUGGACGGCUUGCUGUUCAGUAACGAAGCUAACGCGUGAAGUUGACCGCCUGGGGAGUACGGCCGCAAGGUUGAA
rnacentral:rRNA from 1 species